rnacentral:rRNA from 1 species
UACGUAGGGGGCAAGCGUUGUCCGGAUUUAUUGGGCGUAAAGAGCGUGUAGGCGGCUAGAUAGGUCCGUUGUGAAAACUCGAGGCUCAACCUCGAGACGUCGAUGGAAACCAUCUGGCUAGAGUCCGGAAGAGGAGAGUGGAAUUCCUGGUGUAGCGGUGAAAUGCGCAGAUAUCAGGAGGAAUACCGGUGGCGAAAGCGACUCUCUGGACGGCAACUGACGCUGAGGCACGAAAGCGUGGGGAGCAAACAGG